GACGAACGCUGGCGGCGUGCCUAAUACAUGCAAGUAGAACGCUGAAACUUGGUGCUUGCACCGAGCGGAUGAGUUGCGAACGGGUGAGUAACGCGUAGGUAACCUGCCUGGUAGCGGGGGAUAACUAUUGGAAACGAUAGCUAAUACCGCAUAAGAGUAGAUGUUGCAUGACAUUUGCUUAAAAGGUGCAAUUGCACCACUACCAGAUGGACCUGCGUUGUAUUAGCUAGUUGGUGGGGUAACGGCUCACCAAGGCGACGAUACAUAGCCGACCUGAGAGGGUGAUCGGCCACACUGGGACUGAGACACGGCCCAGACUCCUACGGGAGGCAGCAGUAGGGAAUCUUCGGCAAUGGACGGAAGUCUGACCGAGCAACGCCGCGUGAGUGAAGAAGGUUUUCGGAUCGUAAAGCUCGGUUGUAAGAGAAGAACGAGUGUGAGAGUGGAAAGUUCACACUGUGACGGUAGCUUACCAGAAAGGGACGGCUAACUACGUG
rnacentral:rRNA from 1 species